GCCACUGUUGACCUUUGUGGGAGCUGUCAGAAAGUUAUUUGAAGUAGAUCAAGAAGAGAAUGGGAAAUAAAAAAUAGAGACAUCAGACUUGAGCCUCCAGAACUCUGAGACAAUGACUUUCAGUUGUUUAAGCCACCCAGUCUGUGGUACUUUGUUCUGGCAGCCCUAGAAAACUGAUACAAGAUCAUAGGAAAAAGAUGAACAUACGAAGGACAGUUGAUGGUGUACGUUCCUCAGAAGGUGAGAAAGGAAGCUAUUUUCUUGUCUGGAAGAACAUUUCAGAAAAGGAGAAAG